UGGGGAAUAUUGGGCAAUGGGGGCAACCCUGACCCAGCGACGCCGCGUGAGGGAAGAAGGCCUUCGGGUCGUAAACUUCUUUUGUACGUGAAGAAGCAGAUGACGGUAGCGUACGAAUAAGUCCCGGCUAACUACGUGCCAGCAGCCGCGGUAAUACGUAGGGGACGAGCGUUGUCCGGAAUUACUGGGCGUAAAGGGCGCGCAGGCUGCGCGUCGAGUCGGCUGUUAAAGAUCCGGGCUUAACCCGGUGAAGCGGUCGAGACCGACGAGCUGGAGUGCUGCAGAGGCAAGUGGAAUUCCCGGUGUAGCGGUGAAAUGCGUAGAUAUCGGGAAGAACACCGGUGGCGAAGGCGACUUGCUGGGCAGCAACUGACGCUGAGGCGCGAAAGCCAGGGGAGCA
rnacentral:rRNA from 1 species